GACAGAGGGUGCAAACGUUGUUCGGAAUUACUGGGCGUAAAGCGUGUGUAGGCGGUCUCUUAAGUCGGACGUGAAAUCCCUCGGCUCAACCGGGGAACUGCGUCCGAUACUGGAUGGCUUGAGUUCGGGAGAGGGAUGCGGAAUUCCAGGUGUAGCGGUGAAAUGCGUAGAUAUCUGGAGGAAUACCGGUGGCGAAGGCGGCAUCCUGGACCGACAUUGACGCUGAACGGCGAAAGCUAGGGGAGCAAACGGG
rnacentral:rRNA from 1 species